GGGCCUCUAGCUCAAUGGUAGAGCAGCUGACUCUUAAUCAGCCGGUUCAGGGUUCGAGCCCCUGGGGGCUCACCA
rnacentral:tRNA from 1 species